AUUGAACGCUGGCGGCAUGCCUUACACAUGCAAGUCGAGCGGCAGCGCGGGGGCAACCCUGGCGGCGAGCGGCGAACGGGUGAGUAAUACAUCGGAACGUGUCCAGUAGCGGGGGAUAACCUGUCGAAAGAUAGGCUAAUACCGCAUACGACCUACGGGUGAAAGCGGGGGACCGCAAGGCCUCGCACUAUUGGAGCGGCCGAUGUCGGAUUAGCUAGUUGGCGGGGUAACGGCCCACCAAGGCGACGAUCCGUAGCUGGUCUGAGAGGACGACCAGCCACACUGGAACUGAGACACGGUCCAGACUCCUACGGGAGGCAGCAGUGGGGAAUUUUGGACAAUGGGCGCAAGCCUGAUCCAGCCAUGCCGCGUGAGUGAAGAAGGCCUUCGGGUUGUAAAGCUCUUUCGGCGGGGACGAAACGGUCCGUGCCAACACCACGGACUAAUGACAGUACUCGCAGAAGAAGCACCGGCUAACUACGUGCCAGCAGCCGCCGUAA
rnacentral:rRNA from 1 species